UGUGUGUUCCAGGUAAAUCCGGUUCACUUUAACACUGAGGCGUGAUGACGAGGCACCACGGUGCUGAAGCAACAAAUGCCCUGCUUCCAGGAAAAGCCUCUAAGCAUCAGGUAACAUCAAAUCGUACCCCAAACCGACACAGGUGGUCAGGUAGAGAAUACCAAGGCGCUUGAGAGAACUCGGGUGAAGGAACUAGGCAAAAUGGUGCCGUAACUUCGGGAGAAGGCACGCUGACACGUAGGUGAAGUGAUUUACUCACGGAGCUGAAGUCAGUCGAAGAUACCAGCUGGCUGCAACUGUUUAUUAAAAACACAGCACUGUGCAAACACGAAAGUGGACGUAUACGGUGUGACGCCUGCCCGGUGCCGGAAGGUUAAUUGAUGGGGUCAGCGCAAGCGAAGCUCCUGAUCGAAGCCCCGGUAAACGGCGGCCGUAACUAUAACGGUCCUAAGGUAGCGAAAUUCCUUGUCGGGUAAGUUCCGACCUGCACGAAUGGCGUAAUGAUGGCCAGGCUGUCUCCACCCGAGACUCAGUGAAAUUGAACUCGCUGUGAAGAUGCAGUGUACCCGCGGCAAGACGGAAAGACCCCGUGAACCUUUACUAUAGCUUGACACUGAACAUUGAGCCUUGAUGUGUAGGAUAGGUGGGAGGCUUUGAAGCGUGGACGCCAGUCUGCGUGGAGCCGACCUUGAAAUACCACCCUUUAAUGUUUGAUGUUCUAACGUGGACCCGUAAUCCGGGUUGCGGACAGUGUCUGGUGGGUAGUUUGACUGGGGCGGUCUCCUCCUAAAGAGUAACGGAGGAGCACGAAGGUUGGCUAAUCCUGGUCGGACAUCAGGAGGUUAGUGCAAUGGCAUAAGCCAGCUUGACUGCGAGCGUGACGGCGCGAGCAGGUGCGAAAGCAGGUCAUAGUGAUCCGGUGGUUCUGAAUGGAAGGGCCAUCGCUCAACGGAUAAAAGGUACUCCGGGGAUAACAGGCUGAUACCGCCCAAGAGUUCAUAUCGACGGCGGUGUUUGGCACCUCGAUGUCGGCUCAUCACAUCCUGGGGCUGAAGUAGGUCCCAAGGGUAUGGCUGUUCGCCAUUUAAAGUGGUACGCGAGCUGGGUUUAGAACGUCGUGAGACAGUUCGGUCCCUAUCUGCCGUGGGCGCUGGAAGACUGAGGGGGGCUGCUCCUAGUACGAGAGGACCGGAGUGGACGCAUCACUGGUGUUCGGGUUGUCAUGCCAAUGGCACUGCCCGGUAGCUAAAUGCGGAAAAGAUAAGUGCUGAAAGCAUCUAAGCACGAAACUUGCCCCGAGAUGAGUCUUCCCUGAGACUUUGAGUCUCCUGAAGGAACGUUAAAGACGAUGACGUUGAUAGGCCGGGUGUGUAAGCGCAGCGAUGCGUUGAGCUAACCGGUACUAAUGAACCGUGAGG
rnacentral:rRNA from 1 species